rnacentral:lncRNA from 1 species
CCAAGUCAUGUUCAAGAAGCAGAAGCCUGACCUCAGAGAUGACAUCGCCACUGGAGGAGGAGGAGAACGGCAGGAUCACCCCUGGCUGGCGAUGAAAGGAAAGGGCACCUUUCCUUGGAGUUUGCCAGCAACUUCUACUUGAUGUGACCAUGUCAGCACAGCAGAUUUAUGAUUUGUGAACCAAGUACGAGCCCGGAUCACAUCCGUCACUCAGUGCUGUUUGGAAUACAUUUUCUCCCAGUUGGAAAAACGAAUUGUGGAGUGACUCUACUCACAGAUAUCCUCCAUGGACCCAUUACAGGAAGGAUGCAGGGCUCAAUGGUCCUUUGGUUUCAACUGAAUUGCAUGCAAUGCUGUGCUAGCUGGAUUCUGUUGGGGAAAAUGUGA